UGUUCUACAGGUUACAGUGUUAAGUAUGAAGUCUCUAAUCUUAAAUUGUGUCUUUUCAAAUUUUAGCUAAGUCUGGCGCACGAGCAUUCCUGGCUUGGACUGCAGCAGGAGCUAGGGUGGGUCAGAGAGUGCUCCAAUGUAUGCUGCCAGCAGUAGGAGCUGAGGGACUUUUUGAAAGCCUGGAGAACUUGACCAGAGACACCUCUAACUGUACCGUCUCCAAAACCUCGCAUGCAGAAGUGCAGUGAGACUUUCAGCAAAUCAGCUGAGGAUUUACAAAGAGGAAAGAGAAUUAGGCUAACAAAAAAAGAAGAAACAUCUCAUAUUGGAGAUAAUAGACCAGCACAGAACAUGUGAUUAUCUACUGCUUAUAGGAGGAGGAGUAUUAUUCGUCUGCCAUCAUUUUUACGUGAGAGAAGAGUAAGGAAAAUGUUAGACAAAAGAAAACUUGUGUUUCCAUCUAAACGUGAGUAUUUUUUUAGUUUUUAUAAAUUGCACUUUUUUUUCCUAAAAAUUAAAGGUCUGAUGAUUUUUCU
rnacentral:lncRNA from 1 species